GUCAAGUCAUCAUGGCCUUUAUGUCCAGGGCUGCACACGUGCUACAAUGCCGCGUACAAAGGGAUGCCAACCCGCGAGGGGGAGCCAAUCCCAAAAAGCGCGGCCCAGUUCGGAUUGCAGGCUGCAACUCGCCUGCAUGAAGCCGGAAUCGCUAGUAAUCGCAGGUCAGCUAUACUGCGGUGAAUGUGUUCCUGAGCCUU
rnacentral:rRNA from 1 species